GCCCCCGUACUUCAGUGGAAGAAGACUACGCAAUCGGCCGAUAGGGUGUAGAAAGUCAUUAGUUCGAUUCUAAUCGGGGGCA
rnacentral:tRNA from 1 species